GUUUGUGUUCCAGAAAACAAGCAGUUUGUCCUUCCAAACACAUUUACGACCCAAAACCCUCCUCCAGCACAGAGUCCUGAGGGCUGGCAGCACAUGUGAGUCAGGGUUUCCAAACCAAAAGGCUUCAACCUGCAUUUUCAACUAUUUUCUUAUAUGACUUGGCCAAGAGGAAAACAUGGCCAGCAGUGUGGGUGAAAGCACCCCAGAGAAGGGGGCAGGGGAGGUGGUGGGUGUGUGGGGUGGCUGCCCUGGGCAGAGCUGCCAGCUCUCCUUGGCUGAUGCCAUUUCAUUUAUGCAGGGUUUGGACGGUGCAAAGGGAGAAAAAGGUGACACUGGUGAGAAGGGGGACCACGGUGACACUGGACCCGCUGUGAGUAGUUUUCCCAAAUCUCAUUUCUGGCUGUCGGCAGCAGCCUGCCUGACAGCAAUGACCCUAAUGCCCUGUUUCUUUGUAACUUCAGGGUCUCCCGGGCGCUCCAGGGCUCAUUGGAUUACCUGGUACCAAAGGAGAGAAGGGAAAGCCGGGGGAGCCAGGAUUGGAUGGUUUCCCAGGUCUCAGAGGAGAGAAAGGAGAGAGAAGUGAAAGAGGCGAGAAGGUGAGUGCGUUAUGGCUGCAGGCACAUUCAUGGGGCAGGACAAGCAGCUCUUUCUGCCAGGUUGCCCUGGGUGCUGGUCCUCUCUUGGCUGUUUCUUGAGUAAUUCCUGAAAGGCCUUUUCCAUAGCACAAGUCCUUGCCCGGUCCCAGUGUAGGGCAGGACAGGCAGUUAAUUCCUACCCACUUGGAAGAGCUUUCAACCCCCACCCACAGCACAACCACUGUGGGGAAAUGGAGCAGCGUGACAGCUCCAGGCUGCAAAGAAUUGCUGGUCUUGGUUUCUAGACCUUGAAAAU
rnacentral:lncRNA from 1 species